rnacentral:rRNA from 1 species
GUCCUUCGGGAUGAGUAAAGUGGCGCACGGGUGAGUAAUGCGUAGAUAAUCUGCCUGGUGAUCUGGGAUAACAUCUCGAAAGGGGUGCUAAUACCGGAUAAGCCCACGGAGUCUUCGGACUUUGCGGGAAAAGGGGGGGACCUUCGGGCCUUCUGUCACCAGAUGAGUCUACGUACCAUUAGCUAGUUGGUGGGGUAAGAGCCCACCAAGGCUACGAUGGUUAGCUGGUCUGAGAGGAUGAUCAGCCACACUGGAACUGAGACACGGUCCAGACUCCUACGGGAGGCAGCAGUGGGGAAUUUUGCGCAAUGGGGGAAACCCUGACGCAGCAACGCCGCGUGAGUGAUGAAGGCCUUCGGGUCGUAAAGCUCUGUCAGAGGGAAAGAAAUGUGGGUGGCUAAUAUCCAUUCCGCUUGACGGUACCCUCAAAGGAAGCACCGGCUAACUCCGUGCCAGCAGCCGCGGUAAUACGGAGGGUGCGAGCGUUGUUCGGAAUUAUUGGGCGUAAAGCGCGUGUAGGCGGUUUUAUAAGUCUGAUGUGAAAGCCCCGGGCUCAACCUGGGAAGUGCAUUGGAAACUGUAAGACUUGAGUACGGGAGAGGGCAGUGGAAUUCCUAGUGUAGGAGUGAAAUCCGUAGAUAUUAGGAGGAACACCGGUGGCGAAGGCGGCUGCCUGGACCGAUACUGACGCUG